GACGAACGCUGGCGGCGUGCUUAACACAUGCAAGUCGAACGGAAAGGCCCUGCUUUUGUGGGGUGCUCGAGUGGCGCACGGGUGAGUAACACGUGAGUAACCUGCCCUUGACUUUGGGAUAACUUCAGGAAACUGGGGCUAAUACCGGAUAGGAGCUCCUGCAGCAUGGUGGGGGUUGGAAAGUUUCGGCGGUUGGGGAUGGACUCGCGGCUUAUCAGCUUGUUUGUGGGGUAGUGGCUUACCAAGGCUUUGACGGGUAGCCGGCCUGAGAGGGUGACCGGGGACAUUGGGACUGCGAUACGGCGCAGACUGCUACGGGAGGCAGUAGUGGGGAAUAUUGCACAAUGGGCGGAAGCCUGAUGCAGCAACGCCGCGUGCGGGAUGACGGCCUUCGGGUUGUAAACCGCUUUCGCCUAUGACGAAGCGUGAGUGACGGUAAUGGGUAAAGAAGCACCGGCUAACUACGUG
rnacentral:rRNA from 1 species